UCAGACAUGGUGUACUGAACAUGGCCUCCCCACGCAUAUCGAUGGAUGAGGCAGAUCUGGGUUCGACUCCCGGUGUCUGAC